GAUGAACGCUAGCUACAGGCUUAACACAUGCAAGUCGAGGGGCAGCAUGACCUAGCAAUCGGUUGAUGGCGACCGGCGCACGGGUGAGUAACACGUAUCCAACCUGCCGAUUAUUCCGGGAUAGCCUUUCGAAAGAAAGAUUAAUACUGGAUAGCAUAACGAGAAGGCAUCUUCUUGUUAUUAAAGAAUUUCGCUAAUCGAUGGGGGUGCGUUCCAUUAGUUUGUUGGCGGGGUAACGGCCCACCAAGACAUCGAUGGAUAGGGGUUCUGAGAGGAGGGCCCCCACAUUGGAACUGCGACACGGUCCACACUCCUACGGGACGCAGCAGUGAGGAAUAUUGGUCAAUGGACGAGAGUCUGAACCAGCCAAGUAGCGUGAAGGAUGCCUGCCCUAUGGGUUGUAAACUUCUUUUAUAUGGGAAUAAAGUGGGCCACGUGUGGCUUUUUGUAUGUACCAUAAGAAUAAGGAUCGGCUAACUCCGUG
rnacentral:rRNA from 1 species